AUGGCAUGAUGUGGACAUUGUCUUUCUAACACCUUCCAUCUCAUCCAUGAUUCAUAAAGAGUUUCAUCUUCUUUUGGUCUGAAAGCUAUCAUCCGAUUCGUCAAUUC